rnacentral:rRNA from 1 species
CCUACGGGGUGCAGCAGUGGGGAACAUUGGACAAUGGGCGAAAGCCUGAUCCAGCCAUGCCGCGUGUGUGAAGAAGGCCUUCGGGUUGUAAAGCACUUUCAGUGGGGAAGAAAGCCUUGGGGCUAAUACCCUCGAGGAAGGACAUCACCCACAGAAGAAGCACCGGCUAACUCCGUGCCAGCAGCCGCGGUAAUACGGAGGGUGCGAGCGUUAAUCGGAAUUACUGGGCGUAAAGCGCGCGUAGGCGGUCUGAUAAGCCGGUUGUGAAAGCCCCGGGCUCAACCUGGGAACGGCAUCCGGAACUGUCAGGCUAGAGUGCAGGAGAGGAAGGUAGAAUUCCCGGUGUAGCGGUGAAAUGCGUAGAGAUCGGGAGGAAUACCAGUGGCGAAGGCGGCCUUCUGGACUGACACUGACGCUGAGGUGCGAAAGCGUGGGUAGCAAACAGGAUUAGAUACCCGUGUAGUC